CGCGCACCGCCGCACCUGCGGGCUCUCGCCCCGGCGUCUGCGGGACCCGAGGGCUCUGAGCGCGCUGCCGCCCUCCCGCGCCGCCCUCGCACACGCAGAUCCCACUUUUAAAGAAUCCGAAGCGGUGCAGCCCAUCGACACCGAGCGCAGCCGGUUGUGCUUGUUCUCUCCCCGUCUGCAGUUGAGCCCGGACCCUGGAAUAGAAAGACAGUUCUCCGUUGGACUGGCAGAAAGGGAAGGCAGACUCCUCGGUUCCCGAGGAGAGCGGAGCGGCUGCUCUAGUGAAGAAAUGAAGAAUCAAAGAAGUAAAGGAUCUAUUUCAAAAUCACAUAACUAAUGCCUGAGUGGAAUGAUUUGAUAAAGACAUCACAUUUAUGGCUCAGUACUCCAAAGUCUCUCACUCACUGCAUGUUGUCCAGUUGUGGAUCUCUGCAUUAAUUCCCAUCUACUUCAAGAAGAAUCUUCUCUGCUGAGGGUUGGGCAAUGCACUUUUGGGAGUUUUAGGUAUCAUGAUAAAUCAAUUUUAUGAAAAACCUCA
rnacentral:lncRNA from 1 species